GGGAGCCUGAGACACGGCUACCAGUUCCAUGGAAGGCAGCAGGCGCGCAAAUUGCCCAAUGCCAAAACAUUUGGCGAGGCAGCGACGAGAAAUAGCAACCCUACGCGUCUAGUGCGUGUGGGGAUUGCAAUGACGUGUAUCCAUACCAACUCGUGAUUAUCAAAUGGAGGGCAAGUCUGGUGCCAGCAGCCGCGGUAAUUCCAGCUCCAUGAGCGUAUAUUAACGUUGUUGCUGUUAAAAAGCUCGUAGUUGGAUUCAGAGCCAGAGGUUGUGAAGGGGGUUACGACCCAAUGGGCAUCCCCCAUCUGGGAAGUGACUAUUUGACCUUCACGUAGGCCCCUGGCUUUACUACGGGGAUUAGGUAGGCUGGAGGUUGGUCCUCUUCAUUGAGGGUUGCCUCAACCCCGCGCCGAACACGCGCAUACAGCCCGUCCUCGGAUGUUACUGUGAACAAAACAGCGUGUCCAAGGCAGUCGGCCUGCCGACCUGAAUGUCCAAGCAUGGAAUAACAAGGGAUCGACCGCUCCGGUUGGUCUUUUGUUGGUCUUUUGCCACGGAGUCUGGGCAAUUUGGGCCAAGGUUGUCGGGUAAGGCUCUGCCCUUUCCCAUGAGGGAUUGGGUCAUCCUUGCUCGAGCCUUGGUUCGUCGGGAUCAAUAGGGGCUACCCGGGGAGAUACGUACUGCCUGGUCAGAGGUGAAAUUCUUAGACCCAGGCAAGACGAACUUCUGCGAAGGCAUUUCUCAAGCGUGCCUUCAUUAAUCAAGAACGAGAGUGUGGGGAUCGAAGAUGAUCAGAUACCGUCGUAGUCCACACUGUAAACGAUGCCGACUCGGGAUUGGGGGUUGACCUUUCUUGGUCUCCCCCAGUACCACCUCCUGAACCGAGAAAUCAAAGUUUUUGGGCUCAGGGGGGAGUACAUUCGCAAGGCUGAAACUUGAAGGAAUUGACGGAAUGACACCACAAGGCGUGGAGUGUGCGGCUUAAUUUGACUCAACACGGGGAACCUUACCAGGUCAGGACAAUGUGAGGAUUGACAGAUUGAGAGCUCUUUCAAGAUUCAUUGGAUGGUGGUGCAUGGCCGUUGCUGGUUGGUGGGGUGACCUGUCUGGUUGAUUCCGUUAACGAACGAGAUCUCCACCACUAAAUAGGUGCUAGCCUCGUAUUUGUAGGCAGGUCCACUAAGCUUGCUUGGGUUAGGACUUGCCGAGAGAGCUAGAAAACUUCUUAGUGGGACUAUGCAUGCCUCUAAUGCAUGGAAGUAAGAGCCAAUAGCAGGUCUGUGAUGCUCCCAUAUGUUCUGGGCCGCACGCGCACUACACUGACCCAUGGAACGAGCUUACCCGUUUAGGGUCCUGUCUUUGAAAAAGAUGGGGAAUCUUUGAAAUAUGGGUCGUGCUGGGGACAGAUGAUUGCAAUUAUUUGCCUCGAACGAGGAAUGCCUCGUAGGCGCAUGUCAUCAACGUGCACCGAUUAUGUCCCUGCCAUUUGUACACACCGCCCGUCGUUGCUACCGAUUGGCAUACGAAUAGAGAUGAUUGGACUUCUCGGCUCUCGGGCCUGGGGGGGAAACUCACCGAUGUUCGUAUGCUAGAGGAAGCAAAAGUCGUAACAAGGUU
rnacentral:rRNA from 1 species